rnacentral:rRNA from 1 species
CAAUAGCGUAUAUUAAAGUUGUUGCAGUUAAAAAGCUCGUAGUUGGAUUUCUGGUGGGAGCGAUCGGUCUGGCGCUUAGCGCGAGUACUUGCAUCGUCUCCGGCCAUCCUUGGGGAGAGUCUGUCUGGCAUUAAGUUGUCGGGCAGAGGAUCCUCAUCGUUUACUGUGAAAAAAUUAGAGUGUUCAGAGCAGGCUUAUGCCGUUGAAUAUAUUAGCAUGGAAUAAUAAGAUAGGACUUUGGUACUAUUUUGUUGGUUUGCGCACCAAAGUAAUGAUUAAUAGGGACAGUUGGGGGUAUUCGUAUUCCGUUGUCAGAGGUGAAAUUCUUGGAUUUACGGAAGACGAACUACUGCGAAAGCAUUUACCAAGGAUGUUUUCAUUAA